ACAACUUCUAACGGUGGAUCUCUAGGCUCGUGCAU
rnacentral:rRNA from 4 species